rnacentral:rRNA from 1 species
UGGGGAAUCUUGCGCAAUGGGCGAAAGCCUGACGCAGCGACGCCGCGUGAGGGAAGAAGGCCUUCGGGUUGUAAACCUCUUUCAGGAGGGACGAAGCCACUCGGGUGAAUAGCCCAGAGGGUGACGGUACCUCCAGAAGAAGCCCCGGCUAACUACGUGCCAGCAGCCGCGGUAAUACGUAGGGGGCAAGCGUUGUCCGGAUUCAUUGGGCGUAAAGAGCGUGUAGGCGGGCCUGGGAAGGUCAGCUGUGAAAACUCGAGGCUCAACCUCGAGACGUCGGUUGAAACCACCUGGCUAGAGUCCGGAAGAGGAGUGUGGAAUUCCCGGUGUAGCGGUGAAAUGCGCAGAUAUCGGGAAGAACACCCGUGGCGAAGGCGGCACUCUGGGACGGUACUGACGCUGAGACGCGAAAGCGUGGGGAGCGAACAGGAUUAGAUACCCUGGUAGUCCACGCCGUAAACGAUGGGUGCUAGGUGUGGGAGGUGUCGACUCCUUCCGUGCCGAAGCUAACGCAUUAAGCACCCCGCCUGGGGA